rnacentral:rRNA from 1 species
UACAGAGGUCCCAAGCGUUGUUCGGAUUUACUGGGCGUAAAGGGUGCGUAGGCGGUCGGGUAAGCCUGAUGUGAAAUCUCAGAGCUCAACUCUGAAACUGCAUUGGAUACUAUUCGGCUUGAGGUCUGGAGGGGGGACUGGAAUUCUCGGUGUAGCAGUGAAAUGCGUAGAUAUCGAGAGGAACACCAGUGGCGAAGGCGAGUCCCUGGACAGAUCCUGACGCUGAGGCACGAAAGCUAGGGGAGCAAACAGG